UACGGAGGGGGCUAGCGUUGUUCGGAAUUACUGGGCGUAAAGCGCACGUAGGCGGCUUUGUAAGUUAGAGGUGAAAGCCCAGGGCUUAACCCUGGAAUUGCCUUUAAGACUGCAUCGCUAGAAUUGUGGAGAGGUAAGUGGAAUUCCGAGUGUAGAGGUGAAAUUCGUAGAUAUUCGCAAGAACACCAGUGGCGAAGGCGGCUCACUGGCCCGAUACUGACGCUGAGGCACGAAAGCCAGGGGAGCGAACGGG
rnacentral:rRNA from 1 species